rnacentral:rRNA from 1 species
GAUGAACGCUGGCGGCGUGCCUAAUACAUGCAAGUCGAGCGAACAGACGAGGAGCUUGCUCCUCUGACGUUAGCGGCGGACGGGUGAGUAACACGUGGAUAACCUACCUAUAAGACUGGGAUAACUUCGGGAAACCGGAGCUAAUACCGGAUAAUAUAUUGAACCGCAGGGUUCAAUAGUGAAAGACGGUUUUGCUGUCACUUAUAGAUGGACCCGCGCCGCAUUAGCUAGUUGGUAAGGUAACGGCUUACCAAGGCAACGAUGCGUAGCCGACCUGAGAGGGUGCCAGGCCACCCUGGACCUGAGCACCGGCCCAGACCCCUACGGGAGGCAGCAGUAGGGAAUCUUCCGCAAUGGGCGAAAGCCUGACGGAGCAACGCCGCGUGAGUGAUGAAGGUCUUCGGUUCGUAAACCUCUGUUAUUAGGGAAGAACAAAUGUGUAAGUAACUAUGCACGUCUUGACGGUACCGAAUCAGAAAGCCACGGCUACCUCCGU